CGAUGUCUAGGGGCUCUGAGAGGAUUGUCCCCCACACUGGUACUGAGACACGGACCAGACUCCUACGGGAGGCAGCAGUAAGGAAUAUUGGUCAAUGGACGAAAGUCUGAACCAGCCAUGCCGCGUGCAGGAUGACGGCCCUAUGGGUUGUAAACUGCUUUUAUACGGGAAGAAUCCCCUGUACGUGUACAGGGUUGACGGUACCGUACGAAUAAGGAUCGGCUAACUCCGUGCCAGCAGCCGCGGUAAUACGGAGGAUCCAAGCGUUAUCCGGAUUUAUUGGGUUUAAAGGGUGCGUAGGCGGAAUGAUAAGUUAGUGGUGAAAUCCCUCGGCUCAACCGGGGCACUGCCAUUAAAACUGUCAUUCUUGAGUAUAGUUGAAGUGGGCGGAAUGUAUCAUGUAGCGGUGAAAUGCUUAGAUAUGAUACAGAACACCGAUAGCGUAGGCAGCUUGCUAAACUAUAACUGACGCUCAGGCACGAAAGCGUGGGGAGCAAACAGGAUUAGAUACCCUGGUAGUCCACGCCGUAAACGAUGAUCACUCGCUGUUGGCGAUACACAGUCAGCGGCUUAGGGAAACCAUUAAGUGAUCCACCUGGGGAGUACGGUCGCAAGAUUGAAACUCAAAGGAAUUGACGGGGGCCCGCACAAGCGGAGGAGCAUGUGGUUUAAUUCGAUGAUACGCGAGGAACCUUACCUGGGCUUAAAUGUAAGACGACAGUCCCCGAAAGGGGACUUUCCUUCGGGACGUCCUACAAGGUGCUGCAUAGUUGUCGUCAGCUCGUGCCGUGAGGUGUCGGGUUAAGUCCCAUAACGAGCGCAACCCCUAUCCUUAGUUGCCAUCAGAUAAUGCUGGGGACUCUAAGGAAACUGCCUACGCAAGUAGUGAGGAAGAUGGGGAUGACGUCAAAUCAGCACGGCCCUUAUGUCCAGGGCUACACACGUGCUACAAUGGCCGGUACAGAGGGCAGCUACCUGGUGACAGGAUGCUAAUCUCGAAAACCGGUCUCAGUUCGGAUCGAAGUCUGCAACUCGACUUCGUGAAGUCGGAUUCGCUAGUAAUCGCACAUCAGCCAUGGCGCGGUGAAUACGUUCCCGGGCCUUGUACACACCGCCCGUCAAGCCAUGGAAGCUGGGGGUACCUAAAGUCCGUAACCGCAAGGAGCGGCCUAGGGUAAAACUAGUAACUGGGGCUAAGUCGUAACAAGGUA
rnacentral:rRNA from 1 species